rnacentral:rRNA from 1 species
UACGUAGGGGGCUAGCGUUGUUCGGAAUUACUGGGCGUAAAGCGCGCGCAGGCGGUCUUGCAAGUCAGUGGUGAAAGCCCGGAGCUCAACUCCGGAACUGCCAUUGAAACUGUAAGACUUGAGGAUGAGAGAGGUGAGUGGAAUUCCCAGUGUAGAGGUGAAAUGCGUAGAUAUUGGGAAGAACACCGGUGGCGAAGGCGGCUCACUGGCUCAUAUCUGACGCUCAGGCGCGACAGCGUGGGGAUCAAACAGG